UGCUCGAUUAGGUAGCAAUAUACUAAAAUUGGAAUGAUACAGAGAAGAUUAGCAUGGCCCCUGUGCAAGGAUGACUCGCAAAUUAGUGAAAAUUGUGGUUCUUCA